rnacentral:rRNA from 1 species
UACGGAGGGAGCUAGCGUUGUUCGGAAUUACUGGGCGUAAAGCGCGCGUAGGCGGCUUUGUAAGUUAGAGGUGAAAGCCCGGGGCUCAACCCCGGAAUAGCCUUUAAGACUGCAUCGCUAGAAUCCGGGAGAGGUGAGUGGAAUUCCGAGUGUAGAGGUGAAAUUCGUAGAUAUUCGCAAGAACACCAGUGGCGAAGGCGGCUCACUGGCCCGUAACUGACGCUGAGGCACGAAAGCGUGGGGAGCAAACAGG